rnacentral:rRNA from 1 species
GACGAACGCUGGCGGCAGGCUUAACACAUGCAAGUCGAACGCCCCGCAAGGGGAGUGGCAGACGGGUGAGUAACACGUGGGAACGUACCCUUUGGUUCGGAAUAACUUGGGGAAACUCAAGCUAAUACCGGAUAAGCCCUUAUGGGGAAAGGUUUACUGCCGAAGGAUCGGCCCGCGUCUGAUUAGCUAGUUGAUGAGGUAAUGGCUCACCAAGGCGACGAUCAGUAGCUGGUCUGAGAGGAUGAUCAGCCACACUGGGACUGAGACACGGCCCAGACUCCUACGGGAGGCAGCAGUGGGGAAUAUUGGACAAUGGGGGCAACCCUGAUCCAGCCAUGCCGCGUGAGUGAUGAAGGCCUUAGGGUUGUAAAGCUCUUUUACCCGGGACGAUAAUGACUGUACCGGGAGAAUAAGCCCCGGCUAACUUCGUGCCAGCAGCCGCAGUAA